rnacentral:rRNA from 1 species
AUUGAACGCUGGCGGCAGGCCUAACACAUGCGAGUCGAGCGGAUGAAGGGAGCUUGCUCCUGGAUUCAGCGGCGGACGGGUGAGUAAUGCCUAGGAAUCUGCCUGGUAGUGGGGGAUAACGUCCGGAAACGGGCGCUAAUACCGCAUACGUCCUGAGGGAGAAAGUGGGGGAUCUUCGGACCUCACGCUAUCAGAUGAGCCUAGGUCGGAUUAGCUAGUUGGUGGGGUAAAGGCCUACCAAGGCGACGAUCCGUAACUGGUCUGAGAGGAUGAUCAGUCACACUGGAACUGAGACACGGUCCAGACUCCUACGGGAGGCAGCAGUGGGGAAUAUUGGACAAUGGGCGAAAGCCUGAUCUAGCCAUGCCGCGUGUGUGAAGAAGGUCUUCGGAUUGUAAAGCACUUUAAGUUGGGAGGAAGGGCAGUAAGUUAAUACCUUGCUGUUUUGACGUUACCAACAGAAUAAGCACCGGCUAACUUCGUG